CUCCCCGCCCCCGGCUGCAGGUCGCUUAGGUGGGUUGGGACCUAUCGCUGGCCGCGGAGGGCGGUGUUUGCGACGCCCGAGGUCACAGCGGCCGCCCCCUGCCCGCCCCGUCGACCGGCCGCGCCCUCGCCCAACCCCUGCGCCCCUGGGACCUAUGAGCUCAUCGGGGAAGGCCAAAAGCCCCUCCGCAGAGGGACAGAGAGGAGCUUAAGCAUAGGCAAAGGUUUUGUUUAGGUUUUUAAAUUUAAAAAAAUUACAAAAGAAAAAAAUUUACAUUGCAAGACGCACGUUCCUAUUUGUAAGCUGAUUAAAAUGGAAAAUCC
rnacentral:lncRNA from 1 species